UACGAAGGGGGCUAGCGUUGCUCGGAAUCACUGGGCGUAAAGGGCGCGUAGGCGGAUCUUUAAGUCGGGGGUGAAAGCCUGAGGCUCAACCUCAGAAUUGCCUUCGAUACUGGAGAUCUUGAGGCCAGAAGAGGUAAGUGGAACUGCGAGUGUAGAGGUGAAAUUCGUAGAUAUUCGCAAGAACACCAGUGGCGAAGGCGGCUUACUGGUCCGGUUCUGACGCUGAGGCGCGAAAGCCAGGGGAGCAAACGGG
rnacentral:rRNA from 1 species